GGAGGUUUGGCACCUCGAUGUCGGCUCAUCGCAUCCUGGGGCUGUAGUCGGUCCCAAGGGUUGGGCUGUUCGCCCAUUAAAGCGGUACGCGAGCUGGGUUCAGAACGUCGUGAGACAGUUCGGUCCCUAUCCGUCGUGGGCGUAGGAAAUUUGAGAGGAGCUGUCCUUAGUACGAGAGGACCGGGAUGGACAUACCUCUGGUGUACCAGUUGUCGUGCCAACGGCAUAGCUGGGUAGCUAUGUAUGGACGGGAUAAGUGCUGAAAGCAUCUAAGCAUGAAGCCCCCCUCAAGAUGAGAUUUCCCAACUUCGGUUAUAAGAUCCCUCGAAGAUGACGAGGUUAAUAGGUUCGAGGUGGAAGCGUGGUGACACGUGGAGCUGACGAAUACUAAUCGAUCGAAGACUUAAUCAAUUUUUAAA
rnacentral:rRNA from 1 species